AAAUUUAAAUGGCCGUGGUAUUUUGACCGUGCUAAGGUAGCAUAAUCAUUAGUUUUUUAAUUAAAAACUGGAAUGAAAGGUUGGAUAAGAAAAUGACUGUCUCUAUUAAAUUUUAUUAUAACUUUAUUUUUAAGUUAAAAAGCUUAAUUAAAAUUAAAAGACGAGAAGACCCUAUAGAGUUUUAUUAUUAAUUAAAAAUUAUAUUUUAGAAUUAAUUUAUAUAUUUUCUUUAAUAAUUUAAUUGGGGUGAUUGAAAAAUUUAAUAAACUUUUUUUAUUUUUUAACAUAAAUUUAUGAAUAAAUGAUCCAAUAUUUUUGAUUAUAAGAUAUAAUUACCUUAGGGAUAACAGCGUAAUUUUUUUAAAGAGUUCAUAUUAAAAAAAAAGAUUGCGACCUCGAUGUUGGAUUAAAAUUAAUUUUUGGUGUAGAAGCUAAAAUAUUAGGUCUGUUCGACCUUUAAAAUUUUAC
rnacentral:rRNA from 1 species